GCAGUGGUGGCUCAGUGGUAGAAUUCUCACUUUCCAUGCAAGAGACCCGGGUUCAAUACCCAGCCAGUGCA
rnacentral:tRNA from 1 species